UAGCCGCCUCCCUACGAAGGAACACCACGAAAAAAAACUAAAUCAAGUUAUUCAUCUUCUUUUUAUAUAAUUCAGUUCUAGAUGCAAAUGAAUCAAGUUUUUGUUUUUUUUUUCAUCUGUCUUUUGCUCAUUCAAGCUCACAAUUGGGGGAAGAAAUUUUAGGGUUUGUUAAAGGAGAUGGUCAGAACUCAGAACGACGGCAAUGGAUUGGAAUUCAGGGUUCUUCGAUCUCAUCUCGGUUAAUUUUGGUUUUUCUUGUGAGUUUCGGCGAGACUAAGGUUUCAGAUCCACGAUUUAGGUUAUCAGAUCUACGAUUAUGGAUUUUAGAAACAAAAAUCGUUCUAGGGUUACGAUUUUUAUUUAAAGUAUGUCUAUGUAUUCGGUCUAGGGCCUUUAUAAACUACAUUGGUGAAAAUGGAAAUUGGCUCUGGCAAAGAUGAUUGCUAUACAAGCCGGAAAAGGUAUGGUGGAUCAUGCUACAAGAGGGGAAAGAAAAGUGAAGGUCGCAUCCGAUGAAAUCCUUCGUUUUUGGUGAUUCAGUUUUGUUUACUGUCAUUGAACAUUGUUAGUUUGUUUAUCAGUGGGUGAAUCAUCCUAAGAUGUUAGAUGCCGAAUGCAAGAGGACAUUUAAGGUACUUAAUAUUUUCAUAAGUUUUAGUACUCUUUGUAAAUUGCAAUGAUAUUGUUUCAGGACACUGACUUUAAAGAAUGGAAGCUGGUGAUUCAAUAAAUAAUCAAGUUGGACAAAUAUACAAGUGGAAUGCGAAAGUAUCUCAUGGGGAUUAUAAUGUUGUGUGAAGGGUGUUUGAAGUUACUGUCAUGAUAGAAAGCUCUUCCUUCAGGUCUUUUGAAUUAGGGUGGACGCAUUGCUAGCCAGACCCGAGGUCCAUGGGGUAUGGUUGUCGGUCUCUUUUAAGAACAUAACCAGUUUGGGUCGUGCCUGUUUGGACCUGGUAUACCACACGCCCCGCCACACCUUUUUUGUUAGGCUGUGAUGAGUGGCGUUAGACUGUAGCUGUCCGUACAUGUUGUUGACGCGCCAUUUCUCUCUUUCAUUGCCAUUAUGGAUGGUUUCCCUCUUUCUGGCAGUUUUUAUAUGUUUGUUGGCACUUUGGAACAAGAACAAUGGAAAAUAAGAAUUUUUGAAGAAACAAUAUGAAGUUGAUGUGAGAGUUGGCGGGAAACUAACGAUGUUUCAGAAGAUGGCUAAAUAUAGGAUGAGGGUGCCAAUACAAUUGUGCAUUGGUUGCAAGAAACCAUGUUACAGGUGGAGUGGAUUGGUUACUUAUCAUAUUACACGGUUCUCUAUGUAGAGAAGAAAAAAGUAAUGUAUAAAGAUGCACCACAAGAUGUGUAGAGCAUAGAAAUCUACUAUCUCAGAUUAUAUGAAGAUGUGAUUGUGUUUGAUCACGUGCAAAAGUUAAUGUGAACUGUCCCAACGCACAAAGAGAGCAUAUCCGGAGAAUAUUCAUUUGCUUGGACGAUUGGAUAGACGAAGGCUCAUGUUAUCGACAAAGUUUUGUUACCCCUUAAUGGCAAAUUGAGCCAAAUGGCCUUUCGUGUGACAACCAUCGAUGUCUCAGCUGUGGACUUGACCACGAGAAUGAAAGGCGUCUACUUAUGAGUAGGACAAGGCUGCCACUAGCAACUUUUGAAGGUUAUACGAAGCGAAGGGAUUGGAUGAUUAUACUUUCAUGGUUGGAUUCUUAUAACAGGCUAUACGAAGCGAAGGGAUUGGAGGAUUAUACAUUGGCCUUAGGAGAGACCCUGGCUUUAUACAUUUCAUGAUUCUAAAUCUGUAUAUAGUGAGUAUCAUAAACUCUAUAUCUACUAAGAAUGUGCCUCACAGUUUUGUGUUUGUGACUCAUGCGCCUCAUAGCAAUAUGUUCUAGAGUUGUAUGUACGACAUUCAGUGGGUUUGAAGUUAUAAUGGUUCUAAGGUUGUAUAUCCUACAUCAAUUGGGUAUAAAAUGAUUAAAGGUUGUAUAUAGUACAUCAAAUUGGUCUUUGUAAGUUUCUCUUUAUCAUAUUGUAGAAAAUGGAGUAUUUUAUUCUUUUGCAGAAAUUAAAUAUUUAUUAACAUGU
rnacentral:lncRNA from 1 species